rnacentral:rRNA from 1 species
GACGGGGGUCCUAGCGUUGUUCGGAAUCAUUGGGCGUAAAGCGUGUGCAGGUGGUUUGGUAAGUUAGAUGUGAAGCCUUGAGCUUAACUCAAGAAGUGCAUUUAAAACUACCAAACUUGAAUAUGGAAGAGGGUCGUGGAAUUCCUGGGUGUAGUGGUGAAAUACGUAGAUAUCAGGAGGAACACCGGUGGCGAAGGCGGCGCCUGGUC